CCUUGUUUUGUGAGCUCUUUUUUUUCUAAGUGGAUAACCUUGGCCACGUUGCCUAAUCUCCCAUGUCUUAAUCUCCUCUUUGGGGAAGGAGGGGAAGAUGAUUCUCUGGACGCUGAAUGAAGUAAAAAGGGCCGAACAGCUGGAGCAGGGUCCUGACCAAUCAGAAGAUGAGCUCCACAUCAUGUUUUGAUCAAAUCAAAGGAGCUACAAAGUCCCUCCCCUAAACACCAUUUAUAUGUUAGAUGUGGCAAAGCUGAAGUGACUCUCACUUCACAGACGACAGCAAAGACCCAAAGAGGAAACAGGUGCAGUGAGAAACAAGCCGUCUACGCUGGUGCUGAACAACUGCCUACCCACAAUACGUCUUAAGAUGGUGUUUUCAAACUGCAGCUAUCAAACCCAUUACUGAUUGUGAAGUCAAACUAGUGGAUCAUGACCAUGGUGUAUUUUCAGUUGAAGUGGAAGAAAGUGUCAUGAAUGACACCAGUAACGAGUCAGAGUCCCAUUUCCUGGAAAGAGACUCUCAUCAAUGCUUGAAAUGGUGUCUGGUGUUUUAGAAAUGAGAAGUAGCUAAUACACAGAGAAAGCAGAAGCUGUGUGCAUGGAGACACUUCGGAGCAUUACAAUAGAAUUCUAUAGGAUCCAACAAUUUUACUCCUGGGAAAAAACCUAGAGUAACUGAAAGCAGAGAUUCAAACAGAUUCAUAGUACAGGCUGGAGCAAUGACUCAUAAUCUCAGAGUCACUCUUACGAAGGACCUGGGUUCUACCCACAACACUGAUGUGGUGGUUCACAACCACC